GCGGCAGUAAUUCAGUGGUAGAAUGCCAGCUUCCCAAGCUGGACGUCGCGGGUUCAAGUCCCGUCUGCCGCU
rfam:Ignavibacteria bacterium GWC2_36_12 gwc2_scaffold_14861, whole genome shotgun sequence.